rnacentral:rRNA from 1 species
UCUCCGUUGGUGAACCAGCGGAGGGAUCAUUACCGAGUUUACAACUCCCAAACCCCUGUGAACAUACCACUUGUUGCCUCGGCGGAUCAGCCCGCUCCCGGUAAAACGGGACGGCCCGCCAGAGGACCCCUAAACUCUGUUUCUAUAUGUAACUUCUGAGUAAAACCAUAAAUAAAUCAAAACUUUCAACAACGGAUCUCUUGGUUCUGGCAUCGAUGAAGAACGCAGCAAAAUGCGAUAAGUAAUGUGAAUUGCAGAAUUCAGUGAAUCAUCGAAUCUUUGAACGCACAUUGCGCCCGCCAGUAUUCUGGCGGGCAUGCCUGUUCGAGCGUCAUUUCAACCCUCAAGCACAGCUUGGUGUUGGGACUCGCGUUAAUUCGCGUUCCCCAAAUUGAUUGGCGGUCACGUCGAGCUUCCAUAGCGUAGUAGUAAAACCCUCGUUACUGGUAAUCGUCGCGGCCACGCCGUUAAACCCCAACUUCUGAAUGUUGACCUCGGAUCAGGUAGGAAUACCCGCUGAACUUAAGCAUAUCAAUAAG